rnacentral:rRNA from 1 species
AGCGAACGCUGGCGGCAGGCUUAACACAUGCAAGUCGAGCGGGCAUCUUCGGAUGUCCGCGGCAGACGGGUUAGUAACCCGUGGCAACGUACCCUUCGGUUCGGAACAACUCUUGGAAACUGGCGCUAAUACCGGAUACGCCCUUAUGAUUAAGGGUUUACUGCCAAAGGAUCGGCCCGCGUCUGAUUCUCCAGAUCGUUGGGUAACGGCCUCCCAAGGCCACGAUCAGUCUCUGAGCUGACAGGAAGCUCAGCCACUCUGGGACUGAAACACGCCCCAGACUCCUACGCAGCGCAGAGGUGGGGAAUAUUGCACAACGGGAGCAAGCCUGAUCCAGCCAUGCCGCGUGAGUCAUGAAGGCCUUAGGGUUGUAAAGCUCAUUUGUACGGGACGAUAACGGCGGUACCGGAAGAAUAAGCCCCGGCUAACUUCGUG